ensembl:snRNA U6 U6 spliceosomal RNA
GUGCUCACUUUGCAGCUCAUAUACUAAAAUUGGAAGAAUACAGAGAUUAGCAUGGCCCCAGCAUAAAUAUGACGUGCAAAUUCACAAACUGUUUCAUAAUUUU